AGCUCCAAUAGCGUAUAUUAAAGUUGUUGCAGUUAAAAAGCUCGUAGUUGGAUUUCUGGUCGGGGCCAACGGUGCGCAUCCGCGCGCCCGCGUCCUCUGCCAUCCUUCUGUUAAGCUCGUAUAGCAUUCAUUUGUUGACGAGUGGCUCAGAUAUUUUACCUUGAGAAAAUUAGAGUGUUUCAGGCAGGCUAGCGCCGGGAUACAUUAGCAUGGAAUAAUGGAACAGGACUUUAACCUCUUCUGUUGGUCUGAGGGGUUAGAGUAAUGAUUAAUAGGGAUAGUUGGGGGCAUUAGUACUUAACUGUCAGAGGUGAAAUUCUCGGAUUUGUUAAAGACUAACUUAUGCGAAAGCAUUUGCCAAAGAUGUUUUCAUUA
rnacentral:rRNA from 1 species